UAGAGUUUGAUCCUGGCUCAGGAUGAACGUUGGCUGUGUGCCUAAGGUAUGCAAGUCGAACGAUCCUACUCUGAUUUUCAAAGACUUCGGUCAAUGAUUUUCUAUUUAGGAUAGUGGCAAACGGGUGAGUAAUACGUAGAUAACUUGCCUUGAAGUCGGAAAUAGCUCGUCGAAAGACGGGGUAAUAUCCGAUAGUCUCUAUUCACUUCGUGUGUUUUAGAGUAAAGUUUUUCGCUUCAAGAGAGGUCUGCGUCCUAUCAGCUAGUUGGUGAGGUAAUGGCUCACAAGGCUAAGACGGGACUGGGUGAACCG
rnacentral:rRNA from 1 species